rnacentral:tRNA from 1 species
GCAUCGGUGGUUCAGUGGUAGAAUGCUCGCCUGCCACGCGGGCGGCCAGGGUUCGAUUCCUGGCCGAUGCA